rnacentral:rRNA from 1 species
CGGCAACAGCUCAGAUUUGAAAUCCGGUCCUAGACCCGAGUUGUAAUCUGCAGGGGUAGCUUCUGGCGCGGUGUCUUCUGAGUCCCCUGGAACGGGGCGCCAUAGAGGGUGAGAGCCCCGUACAGUCGACCGCUAAGCCAAUGUGAAGCUCCUUCGAC